UUGAUUCAUUUUGAAUUUUUGCUCAGAGCUGUAAGAAAUAACGUCCGCGAGGGGACUACAGAAAGAGUUUGGUUGGUUCCUCCGGCGGGCGCCUGGUUCCGGGGCUGCGACGCACCCGGGGCGUGACCCCACCGAGGCAACAGUUUGGUAACGUUCACAUUGGGUUUGGGAGUUGUAAACUCGGUAAUGAUCCCUCCGCUGGUUCACCAACGGAGA
rnacentral:misc_RNA from 1 species